rnacentral:rRNA from 1 species
AUUGAACGCUGGCGGCAGGCUUAACACAUGCAAGUCGAGCGGAGCGAGGGUGCUUGCACCUUAGCUUAGCGGCGGACGGGUGAGUAAUGCUUAGGAAUCUGCCUAUUAGUGGGGGACAACAUUCCGAAAGGAAUGCUAAUACCGCAUACGCCCUACGGGGGAAAGCAGGGGAUCUUCGGACCUUGCGCUAAUAGAUGAGCCUAAGUCGGAUUAGCUAGUUGGUGGGGUAAAGGCCUACCAAGGCGACGAUCUGUAGCGGGUCUGAGAGGAUGAUCCGCCACACUGGGACUGAGACACGGCCCAGACUCCUACGGGAGGCAGCAGUGGGGAAUAUUGGACAAUGGGCGGAAGCCUGAUCCAGCCAUGCCGCGUGUGAAGAAGGCCUUUUGGUUGUAAAGCACUUUAAGCGAGGAGGAGGCUACUGGUACUAAUACUACUGGAUAGUGGACGUUACUCGCAGAAUAAGCACCGGCUAACUCUGUGCCAGCAGCCGCAGUAAAAC